CUCCUUCAAUGACGGAGAGCAGUGGUCGACUAAUUUCACACAAACCACGGUGGAAAUCUGCGGAACUCAUCUGGAAUUGGCAGAAUCUCGUGGGUUCAGGUCUUGAUCACACUGUGGAAGUAAUGUAUUCGACGUGAAGUAAAUUUUCGUCAAGGCAGGUGGGGGUGGUGGCAGAAGAGAUAGAUAGGAAUUGUGAUAUUCCGCUGAGUUUUGAAGACGCAUUUCCAUCAGUUUGCAAUUGGGUUUGUCAGAUCCUUAUGUGCAACAGUGGAUUACAGGAUACAGAAUCCCUUAAAUGAUAAGUCAUAGACUUUCUCAUUUUUUCCUUAUCAACGCACAUGAGAAGCAAUGCAGUUAGUGUAGAUGAAGAAGAAUAUGAACAGUCAACCACCCACUUCAGAUUUCAGCCAGUCCAUUUUUCAUUUGUGACCACGCUCUCAGCUGAUUUCGUUGUUGGAAAAUUAAAGUUUAUGAAACAAAGAUUUGCAAAAUCUGAAAUCACAUAUCUACUUGUCAUACUUCAUGCGUAAGAAUUGUAGUGAUGAUGGCUCAUUUUGGUGAAAGGAAACUGAAGAUGAAUCUGUCCAGUUCUGGCUUUAAUUUUCAAGUGUGAGUCCUUUUCAAAUUACUGUAUAUAUGUGCAGGAGUAGAACAUGGGGUUGAACAAGCACAAGAUUGAUUAUUAGUGGACGAUUACAUGUCCUUGCCAUUUACUCAAAAUGUAAGUCCCAUAAUGUAUUAUUUACAGUGUGCUCAUGAUAUUGCAUAUUCCUUACUCUUAUUUUGCUAAAACUAAAUUUGAGGAUGUUGAUUUUGGAUCUGAAGGUGAUUAGUGAGACUCUAAGAAUGGCAAAUAUUAUCAAUGCUAUUUGAAGAAAAGCUCUUUGAGAUGUCGAAAUCAAAGGGUAUUUGAUUCCAAUAGGAUGGUGUGUUUUGGUGUCUUUAGUUCUAUGCACAUGGAUGAAGAGAACUAUGAACAUCCAUAUCAGUUUGUUCCAUGGAGAUGGGAGGUAAGUUAGAGGUUUAUUAACUAGUUUUAUAUUUCACUUUCUCUUGAUGAUAAUUCAAACUCUGUGUCUUUGCUU